rnacentral:rRNA from 1 species
GAUGAACGCUGGCGGCGUGCUUAACACAUGCAAGUCGAACGAGAAGUGAAGACGGAAACCUUCGGGCGGAAGGCUUUAUUUCGAGUGGCGGACGGGUGAGUAACGCGUGGGUAACCUGCCUCAUACAGGGGGAUAACAGUUGGAAACGACUGUUAAUACCGCAUAAGACCACAGCACCGCAUGGUGCGGGGGUAAAAACUCCGGUGGUAUGAGAUGGACCCGCGUUCGAUUAGCCAGUUGGCGGGGUAACGGCCCACCAAAGCGACGAUCGAUAGCCGAUCUGAGAGGAUGACCGGCCACAUUGGGACUGAGACACGGCCCAAACUCCUACGGGAGGCAGCAGUGGGGAAUGUUGCACAAUGGGGGAAACCCUGAUGCAGCGACGCCGCGUGAGUGAAGAAGUAUUUCGGUAUGUAAAGCUCUAUCAGCAGGGAAGAAAAUGACGGUACCUGAGUAAGAAGCCCCGGCUAACUACGUG